rnacentral:rRNA from 1 species
AGAGCGAACGCUGGCGGCAGGCCUAACACAUGCAAGUCGAGCGCCCGUAGCAAUACGGGAGCGGCAGACGGGAUAGUAACACGUGGGAACGCGCCCUUCGGUUCGGAAUAACUCAGGGAAACUUGAGCUAAUACCGAAUACGCCUUACGGGGAAAGAUUUAUUGCCGAAGGAACGGCCCGCGUCCGAUUAGCUAGUUGGUGAGGUAAUGGCUCACCAAGGCUACGAUCGGUAGCUGGUCUGAGAGGAUGACCAGCAUCACUGGGACUGAGACACGGCCCAGACUCCUACGGGAGGCAGCAGUGGGGAAUAUUGGACAAUGGGCGCAAGCCUGAUCCAGCCAUGCCGCGUGGAUGAUGAAGGCCUUAGGGUUGUAAAGUCCUUUUAACGGGGAAGAUAAUGACGGUACCCGUAGAAUAAGCCCCGGCUAACUUCGUGCCAGCAGCCGC